UACGUAGGGUGCGAGCGUUUGUCCGGAAUUAUUGGGGCGUAAAGGGCUCGUAGGCGGUUUGUCGCGUCGGGAGUGAAAUCCACUGGCUUAACUGGUGGCUUGCUUUCGAUACGGGCAGACUGGAGGUAUGCAGGGGGAGAACGGAAUUCCUGGUGUAGCGGUGAAAAUGCGCAGAUAUCAGGAGGAACACCGGUGGCGAAGGCGGUUCUCUGGGCAUGUCCUGACGCUGAGGAGCGAAAAGUGUGGGGGAGCGAACAGG
rnacentral:rRNA from 1 species